CCAGCCUGUUAUCCUUCCACUGCAGAGAGGAGGAGGUUAUCGCUGCUCUGUGAAGCCAGCCUCACGCGGUGCCCUCCGAUCUAAGGACAGUGAAGCCUCCGCCUUCGCAGAGACUCCGCCAUACAACUCACCAAUUGGAAUGGGCAGGCCAGUAGA